AUUGAACGCUGGCGGCAUGCUUUACACAUGCAAGUCGAACGGUAACAGGCCGCAAGGUGCUGACGAGUGGCGAACGGGUGAGUAAUGCAUCGGAACGUGCCCAGUCGUGGGGGAUAACGCAGCGAAAGCUGUGCUAAUACCGCAUACGAUCUGUGGAUGAAAGCGGGGGACCGAAAGGCCUCGCGCGAUUGGAGCGGCCGAUGUCAGAUUAGGUAGUUGGUGGGGUAAAGGCACACCAAGCCAACGAUCUGGAGCUGGUCUGUGAGGACGACCAGCCGCACUGGGACUGGGCCAGGGCCCCGACGCCUACGAUAGGCAGCAGUGUGGAAUUGCGGACAAUGGGUGCAAGCCUGGUACAGCAAUGCAGCGUGCAGGAAGAAGGCCUUCGGGUUGUGAACUGCUUUUGUACGGAGCGAAAAGGCUCUCUCUAAUACAGGGGGCUCCUGACGGUACCGUAAGAAUAAGCACCGGCUAACUACGUGCCAGCCGCCGCAGUAACAC
rnacentral:rRNA from 1 species